rnacentral:rRNA from 1 species
CUCCUUUCGUUUGUUUGAAAGGUAUAACCUGCCCACUGAAUUUUUUGAAGGGCCGCGGUAAUUUGACCGUGCAAAGGUAGCAUAAUCAUUAGUCUCUUAAUUAGAGGCUGGAAUGAAUGGUUGGACGAGAUAUAGACUGUCUUAUGAUUUUGGGUAGAAUUUAAUUAUUAAGUAAGAAAGCUUAAAUUUAAUUAUGGGACGAGAAGACCCUAUAGAGUUUAAUAGUUGAAUUUAUUUUAUUUGUUUGUUUAUGUAAUUAUUAAUUUAAUUUAUUUUGUUGGGGUGAUGAAAAGAUAAAGGUAACUCUUUUUAUUGAUUGAUAUUAAUAUAUAGUUUAUUGAUCCAUUAAUAAUGAUUAUAAGACUAAAUUACC